GAUGAAGAACGCAGCGAAAUGCGAUAAGUAAUGUGAAUUGCAGAAUUCAGUGAAUCAUCGAAUCUUUGAACGCACCUUGCACCCUUUGGCAUUCCGAAGGGUAUGCUCGUUUGAGUGUCAUUGUACUCUCACACUUCCAAUUCUUUGGAUUGGGAGCGGUGGACUUGGGCGCUGCUGCUUUACUGUGGCUCACCUCAAAUGCAUUAGUGCAACCCUUGGUUAGACAUAGUACGGCGUGAUAAGUGUCUUCGCUGGCGCUUCACAUUUAGAGGGUGGCUGAUCAGGGGCUCUGUGCUUCAAACCGUCUUUGGACAAUGGCUGACAACUUGACCUCAAAUCGAGUAGGACUACCCGCUGAACUUAAGCAUAUCAAUAAGCGGAGGA
rnacentral:misc_RNA from 1 species